UAUUUGCUGGCGACCGGCGCACGGGUGCGUAACACGUAUACAAUCUGCCUUUACAGGGGGAUAGCCCGGAGAAAUCCGGAUUAAUACCCCAUAAUAGAUCGAAUGGCAUCAUUUGAUUUUGAAAGCUCCGGCGGUUAAAGAUGAGUAUGCGUCUGAUUAGCUAGUUGGUGAGGUAACGGCUCACCAAGGCGACGAUCAGUAGGGGAUCUGAGAGGAUUAACCCCCACACGGAUACUGAGACACGGAUCCGACUCCUACGGGAGGCAGCAGUAAGGAAUAUUGGACAAUGCCCGCAAGGGUGAUCCAGCCAUGCCGCGUGCAGGAAGACGGCCCUAUGGGUUGUAAACUGCUUUUACACCGGAGAAAACCUCCCCUCGUGAGGGGAGCUGAUAGUAUGGUGAGAAUAAGCAUCGGCUAACUUCGUGCCAGCAGCCGCGGUAAGACGAAGGAUGCAAGCGUUAUCCGGAUUCAUUGGGUUUAAAGGGAGCGUAGGUGGCCCUAUAAGUCAGUGGUGAAAUCUCUGGGCUUAACCCAGGAAUUGCCAUUGAUACUGUAGGGCUUGAGUACAGUUGCUGUGGGCGGAAUAUGACAUGUAGUGGUGAAAUACAUAGAGAUGUCAUAGAACACCGAUUGCGAAGGCAGCUCACAAAACUGUAACUGACACUGAGGCUCGAAAGUGCGGGGAUCAAACAGGAUUAGAUACCCUGGUAGUCCGCACCGUAAACGAUGAUUACUCGCUGCUAGAGGGCAACUUUUAGUGGCUUAGCGAAAGCGAU
rnacentral:rRNA from 1 species